rnacentral:rRNA from 1 species
CAGCGCCGCGGGAAUACGGAGGAUCCGAGCGUUAUCCGGAAUUAUUGGGUUUAAAGGGUGCGUAGGCGGAUAGAUAAGUCAGUGGUGAAAGACGGUGGCUCAACCAUCGCAGUGCCGUUGAUACUGUUUAUCUUGAAUAUGGAUGAGGUAGGCGGAAUGUGGCAAGUAGCGGUGAAAUGCAUAGAUAUGCCACAGAACACCGAUUGCGAAGGCAGCUUACCAAGGCAAAAUUGACGCUGAGGCACGAAAGCGUGGGGAUCGAACAGGAUUAGAGACCCCCGUAGUCCCUGUCUCUUAUACA